UUUAAAGAGAGUUUGAUCCUGGCUCAGGACGAACGCUGGCGGCGUGCCUAAUACAUGCAAGUCGAACGAACGGAGGAAGAGCUUGCUCUUCCAAAGUUAGUGGCGGACGGGUGAGUAACACGUGGGCAACCUGCCUGUAAGUUGGGGAUAACUCCGGGAAACCGGGGCUAAUACCGAAUGAUAGAAUGUGGCGCAUGCCACGCUUUUGAAAGAUGGUUUCGGCUAUCGCUUACAGAUGGGCCCGCGGUGCAUUAGCUAGUUGGUAGGGUAAUGGCCUACCAAGGCAACGAUGCAUAG
rnacentral:rRNA from 1 species